rnacentral:lncRNA from 1 species
ACAAACCCAUACCGCCUUACGCCAUGUACCAUCGACAAGGAGCCGGGUCCCCAGCACGUGUGUCGCUUCGGCCGUUUGCCGACAACCGGCUCUCCUAUCAGCUACACCACCAACUUCCACUUGGUGCUUCACGCUGUUUACAAGAACCCCCCUGACGCGAAGCUGGAGCAGCUGCAGCUCCUUGAGGUUCGUUGGGUCAUCACGGUUGCAGACGGUUGGGGAUCUCCUCUUAUUGCUCAGCCCUACCGUGUUGUGUUACAGUAGCUAAGCCGCCAACCGCAAGCACAACUCAGUAGCAACACAACCCGUUGCAAAACCCCCUCCCAAAAC